UCAGACGAUGCGUCAUGCAUAUCAAUAAGCGGAGGAAAAGAAACUAACAAGGAUUCCCCUAGUAACGGCGAGUGAAGCGGGAAGAGCUCAAAUUUGAAAUCUUAAAGGGUUUCCCUUUACGAAUUGUAGUUUAAAGAAGUGUUUUCUGUUGAGGUUUUGGUAAAAGUUCUUUGGAAUAGGACAUCAUAGAGGGUGAGAAUCCCGUAUUUGACCUUUACUUUCAACUUUGUGAUACACUUUCAAAGAGUCGGAUUGUUUGGGAAUGCAGUCCAAAAUGGGUGGUAAAUUUCAUCUAAAGCUAAAUAUUGGCGAGAGACCGAUAGCGAACAAGUACCGUGAGGGAAAGAUGAAAAGAACUUUGAAAAGAGAGUUAAACAGUACGUGAAAUUGUCAAAAGGGAAGCGUUUGACACCAGUGUUGUUUUUCUGAAAAUCAAUUAAAGAACUGUAUAUGCUAAGUUGUUUAGACUUUAUCAGCUAACUGUUUAGUUUUGAGCUUUUCUUUAAUGCACUUUUCAGUUAACAAGUCAACAUCAAUUUCUUUUGCUGUAAAAAAGCUUGAGGAAGGUGGCUUGAGAUUCGUCUUAAGUGUUUAUAGCCUCUUGCCUAUGCAGUCGGAGAGAUUGAGGUCUGCAGCGUAGAUCCUUCGGGGCUAAAUGCAUUUGUGCUAAGUUAUAGCAUUUUAUAGACAACUUGUUGACUAUGAUUUGUCUUGUAGCUUACUCGCUUAUGUUAUUUUACCUACGCUUAGGAUGUUGAAUCUGUGCGAGACUAC
rnacentral:rRNA from 1 species